rnacentral:lncRNA from 1 species
UAGAAGGCUGAGGAAGUCCAGAGGGGUUUCUUUGGGACUCUACCUGUCCUUGGAAUAAGGCACUGCUCACAGCAAAGCAGUGAAGACCCAAAGGAAGAGUGAAGUGAACUGUACGGCAACAGUGGCCUUAAUCUUCGGUGUGGAACAUAAAGAAAAGAUAUUACUCGAGUUGACAACGAAUUUGAAACAGCAAAGAAAUGGGUCAUCCAAACUGAAGCCGACAAUGUGGAGUCUUCCUGCGUGAAAGAAACCUCUGCUUUCUUCGAUCCCUGUCUUUAUUACAUCCAGAGAUGUUUUGGUGCUGACCUACUUUGGCCAAAGGCAAUGAGUGCUCCAUAAGAAGAGCAUGUGAUUCACAUGGUCAGCACACCCUUCUACACAAU